GCCAGCAUAGUGUAGUGGUUGGAGCAUAUAGCCUAAGACUCUGGAGAGGAGGGUUCGAUUCCCUGCUCUGCCA